UACGUAGGGGGCAAGCGUUGUCCGGAAUUAUUGGGCGUAAAGCGCGUGUAGGCGGCCAGAUAAGUCCGCUGUGAAAUCUCGAGGCUCAACUUCGAGCUGUCGGUGGAAACUGUCUGGCUAGAGUCCGGAAGAGGAGAAUGGAAUUCCUGGUGUAGCGGUGAAAUGCGCAGAUAUCAGGAAGAACACCUAUGGCGAAGGCAGCUCUCUGGGACGGUACUGACGCUGAGACGCGAAAGCGUGGGGAGCGAACAGG
rnacentral:rRNA from 1 species